rnacentral:rRNA from 1 species
UGGGGAAUAUUGCACAAUGGGCGCAAGCCUGAUGCAGCGACGCCGCGUGAGGGAUGGAGGCCUUCGGGUUGUAAACCUCUUUCGCCAGUGAAGCAGGCCAUCUUCUUUGUGGGGUGGUUGACGGUAGCUGGAUAAGAAGCGCCGGCUAACUACGUGCCAGCAGCCGCGGUAAUACGUAGGGCGCGAGCGUUGUCCGGAAUUAUUGGGCGUAAAGAGCUCGUAGGCGGCUGGUCGCGUCUGUCGUGAAAUCCCCUGGCUUCACUGGGGGCUUGCGGUGGGUACGGGCCGGCUUGAGUGCGGGAGGGGAGACUGGAAUUCCUGGUGUAGCGGGGGAAUGCGCAGAUAUCAGGAGGAACACCGGUGGCGAAGGCGGGUCUCUGGGCCGUUACUGACGCUGAGGAGCGAAAGCGUGGGGAGCGAACAGG